rnacentral:rRNA from 1 species
CUUUUAUGGGGUGACUGCGUACCUUUUGUAUAAUGGGUCAGCGACUUAUAUUCUGUAGCAAGGUUAACCGAAUAGGGGAGCCGGAGGGAAACCGAGUCUUAAUUGGGCGUUAAGUUGCAGGGUAUAGACCCGAAACCCGGUGAUCUAGCCAUGGGCAGGUUGAAGGUUGGGUAACACUAACUGGAGGACCGAACCGACUAAUGUUGAAAAAUUAGCGGAUGACCUGUGGCUGGGGGUGAAAGGCCAAUCAAACCGGGAGAUAGCUGGUUCUCCCCGAAAGCUAUUUAGGUAGCGCCUCGUGAAUUCAUCUCCGGGGGUAGAGCACUGUUUCGGCUAGGGGGCCAUCCCGGCUUACCAACCCGAUGCAAACUGCGAAUACCGGAGAAUGUUAUCACGGGAGACACACGGCGGGUGCUAACGUCCGUCGUGAAGAGGGAAACAACCCAGACCGCCAGCUAAGGUCCCAAAGUCAUGGUUAAGUGGGAAACGAUGUGGGAAGGCCCAGACAGCCAGGAUGUUGGCUUAGAAGCAGCCAUCAUUUAAAGAAAGCGUAAUAGCUCACUGGUCGAGUCGGCCUGCGCGGAAGAUGUAACGGGGCUAAACCAU